GAUGUCGCCGCUCUGCGCUGCUGGGCCGCCGGCGAUCGCAACCCCGACCUGGCCCUGGUAUGAGGACGCUACAAGUCCCUGCUCAGGUUCUUGAAGAACUGUACCCUGCGCUGAUGCUGCAGCCCAUCGCACUUGCCUUUUCUAUUCCAUCUCCGCGUGAGUCCAGGCCUCUUGUGAAAUUUGCAAGCAAUUCAGGCGGCAUGGUUGAAGAGUGGGGUAAAUGGGCAAUGGGUUGCAUGCCUGCAGGCGGUGCUGACACUCAGCACGACGGCAGCGAGGUGGUGCAACAGCCUCGGCAACAACUCGCUGCUGCCGCCAUUCCUCUGUCAUGGGCUGGCAUGCGCGGUCGCCAACAUCCCCUGCCACAACAAAGAAGUGUUUGCAGCUGCCCUUAGUUGCGCCGAUGCACUCGUUGGUGCGCUGCAUAGCCCGUCCGACGAUUCCCAUACCUGCUCUCCUCAGACCUGCCAAUUGAUUGCAGACAGAGUCAGUGAUCCAACAGAUUUCGUUGACGGGUUGCCCUGAGGCAAGUCUGGAGAUGUAUUCUUCAUAUUGAUACUUGCCGAAUACUGCCCUCACAAUGCAAAGGAGUGAGUCUGUUUUCUGCUGUGCAGAGGCAUGCAAGAUCACGUCUCCGGGGAACCUGGAACUGAGAAAGGCGGUCGAUGAGUGUGGUUCUGAGCUGCUCGUCGCUCUGGUGACCGGCCUGGCAGGGACCUCUGGGCUGCCUCGCGUGCACAA
rnacentral:lncRNA from 1 species